rnacentral:pre_miRNA from 1 species
GCGAGGGGCACCUCGAGGACUGUCUAACCUGAGAAUGGUGAAACAUGAGGGUCAAUCUCAGGUUCGUCAGCCCAUGAGAUGCCUUCUC